GAAGAUGCCACAUCUACAUAUGAGACAGGUAAGGCACGUGAAAAUGAUACCAUACUCGUGAUUACUAAAUGGCUUGGAUCUUGCAAGUCCCCAACCGAGGAGCUUCCCUUACUCGGGAACUUAGGGAAGCACUGUUUGUACCAUACUUGACCAAUCCCAAAACUACUGAGCACCGGUUAUACCGUCAAUGACCCAGAAGAGCUUCCCUUCAACCAGGAGGCAAAUCACAAUGCGACACGUGUCGACAUCAGAAGCCAAUCACAG
rnacentral:lncRNA from 1 species